rnacentral:misc_RNA from 1 species
GAGAGCCGAGAUGCAAGAGCGUGGUUGGAGAUCGUCGCCGGUUUGUCCGGCGCUGCAUCGGCCAGCGGCUCUUCGCGUAGCAAGAACUCCGGCGAGCAGAGAAUCGCCUUCAGGCCCACGCGCACG